rnacentral:sRNA from 1 species
AUGCACAUAAUAGAUUAUUUGAUAAGGAUCAAAUGAAAUAAUAUACCUGGUACGUGUUUUUAUAUUAUGUUCUUGAUAUACCGAUAUUGAUGUACAUACAUGUAGAUGUGCUGUUAUGUGUGUUUUCACUAUAGUAUAAAUGAAUUGAAGCUUGCAUUUUGAGUUUAAUUGUGGAUAUUUUGAGAUGUUUCUCUGUUUUUGAUGCAAUGCCGGUUAUAAUCAUAUAAUGCCGGAUAAUAUCAUUCCAUGAUCGAGCUUUUUCAGACCAAAUUUGAUUAAGUGCAUAAUAACGCAAUAAUUUAUUGUUUGAACAACAAAGAAAAAGGGGAAUUCAUUCAAAUCAUGUCCAUGUGUAUGUUAUUGUAUUUUUCAAGAGUGAACUAAAUAAAUUUUGUUUUCACACUUAUACCGGU